CCUACGGGAGGCAGCAGUGAGGAAUAUUGGUCAAUGGCCGGAAGCCUGAACCAGCCAAGCAGCGUGCAGGAUGACGGCCUUAUGGGUUGUAAACUGCUUUUUUUCGGGAAGAAUUAGGAUCACGAGUGAUUAUUUGCCUGUACCGUAAGAAUAAGCAUCGGCUAACUCCGUGCCAGCAGCCGCGGUAAU
rnacentral:rRNA from 1 species